ensembl:lncRNA
AAAUGUCCUUUCUUUCCCUUGAUGAUUUCAUUGUGCUUACACUUCUUGCCCAGCACCUUUGAUUUAAUUAACUGUCUUUAACUAGACAAGUGCUUUAUGUGUUUACUUGUACCGCUUCCCAAAGAUACCAUUGCCACUUAGUCAACCAAAAAAAAAAAAUCUUACGAAGCUAAGCUUUAAUUCUGGUUAUGAUAAGCAUGAAAUUGAAUGCAAUGGUUUUGGGCAUAUGAACGUACAUUGUUGAACAUAGUCCAGAAGAUCACAUCAUAUUAAAAUCUCCAUCAGAAGAAAUGCUUGUUGCAUCCCUGUCCUCUCAGCCUGCUGUGGGAUGCAAACUGGGGAACGUGUGGGACAUGUGCUUCUGAGCAGGCGCUGCCCAGCGGUGUGACGGGAAAUGGGGAGUUCAGCAAAAUAAGGAGGUCACCCACCUUGAAAUAAUGAUGUCUGGAAGCAAGUAUGUGGGUGCAGUAUCAACAGCACUCCUCAAGUCACAUCUGUGUGUGCUCUUUUGGGAGUGACGAUCUGGUACACAGGCAAAUUCCUCAGAAAGAGAAUGAGUCAAAGGAUGGCUUUGUCCGGGAUGACAAAGCAGCCCGGACAGACCAUCAGUAAUGCAACCACAUCAGAGACCCUGUGGCCACUCCACAGCCACUUGGGUAACUGGCCAAGGAGCCAGAUAUUCCCCAGUCUGGCACCUGUGCCUAGUCUGAUGUGGCAGGGUAAAUGGUGUGUCCCACAUGGCUCUACCAUUUCCCUUCUUGAGUAUUUACACAUAUGCACACACAAAGGCAACCUCUCUCAUCUCAGGAAAGAAGUACAGGCCUGCUCUGGCCCUGGAAAAGAGCACCAAGGACUGGGCGCCAGCCAAGAUGCAGAAACCCUCUGAGAUGUGUGGCCAGUUCUGUUUGCUUUGUUGCCUGUCUGAUGCACCUUCAUCUCCCCUACCACCUGAAGUCAAGAGGCCAUCUUCCCUCCUGGCCUUCUCUUCAGCAGAUUGGCAGGGAUCUUCCCCAUUUUUCGUCUUCUUUGCCCCUUGUGCCCAUGCCCUGUCCAUUCCCCAGAGCUGCUGUGCCAGUCUCACCAGCUGCUUCAUCAUCCUCUGUCUUUGAAACAACUUUGAAACAACUAUUUCUAUGUUUUUUCUGCCAAGCAUGUUGCAAACUCAAGAGAGAGACCAGGAGAGAGGACCUACCUCUGGUCAUUUCACAGAGAUCUCCGGCAAGAUGUAAGAACAACUGCAUUCAAAGUCCUGACAAGCCUGGUCAAUCCAAGAUGGAGCAUGCUCAGUGAAACACAUUUUGGGAUAGGUUUGCUGCCAAAUUUUAACAACUAUUUGCAUUUGUAUUUUUGUUUUUCAGAACUGUAGCCAGAUUUGGGCAGAUUUUCUUGGGCAUAUCGUUCCUGCCCGAUGUUAGUGCAGCCUUCCUGCCAAAUUUCAAGCCUUUGAUACAAAGAUUGGAGGCAAGGUUAGAUCUUUUCAGUGAAGGAGUACAUUUUCACAGAGUAAUCCAAGUUUAUAUAUAAUUCCUGACACAUCUAUUGUGAGUGACCGCUGAUGUUUUCUAAAUCUUUGUUGUUGGAUUCAAACACCAUUUUUUCAUUAAAAUUUUUUUUGAUAUUAAAUUGUGUACGUCUGCAUCUGAAAACAUGUAUUUAUCUCUGUUCGAAUGCUGUUUUUCAGUUCUAAAGGAAACUAAACUUGGUUACAAGUGUUUUAUUCCCUUCCCUGUACAUUUUAAAAGGAAGUACACUCGGUUCUGCCUGCAAUGAGGUAACAGACAUAUAUUGUUACAGACAUAAACACUUUUCAAAUGAGUAUAAAGGAAAGCAUCGCCUUCCACUGUCAAUAUACUGUCGAGACUGAUUGUAUUUUAGUUUGAUGUUUGCCACCUGCAUGUCUCAUAAAAAGCACUAAACACCAAACCAGGAGAGCAAGAAAAACAAAUCCCUGACUUUUUGCCUUGCCAUAAUAGAGCUGGAGUUAUUUCAGGAACAAGCUGGACUGGUUUUCCCUGGGACUCAAAAAUAUAUGAGAGACCAUGGUUUCCAAAAAAGAAUCAAAAGAAAUGAAAAGACAGCACUGGAAGAGAAAGACCGUUCUCAGAUGCUUGGUUGUUUUGCGCUGGGUUACGCUUGCCUGGACCAUGGGAAUAUGCAGUUCCACCGACAACAACAGCUCUUCCUGUGGUUACUGAUAAAUCCACACCUCCCAGGGAGAAAAAAAGCAGUGGAGACUGAGCAAAAUGGAUUCUUGAGAACAAUAUCUUUGUUAGGGAAACACAAUAUAAUAAAGCAUAGCAUUCCUAUCA